AAUUUCCUGGAAACAGGAAAGUGCCUCAUUAGAGGAGCUUGGUGACAGGUGCUGCAUGGCUGUCGUCAGCUCGUGUCGUGAGAUGUUGGGUUAAGUCCCGCAACGAGCGCAACCCUUGCCUUUAGUUGCCAUCAUUUAGUUGGGCACUCUAAAGGGACUGCCGGUGUCAAACCGGAGGAAGGUGGGGAUGACGUCAAGUCCUCAUGGCCUUUAUGACCAGGGCUACACACGUACUACAAUGGCAUGUACAAAGGGCAGCCACAGGGCGACCUGGAGCGAAUCCUCAAAACAUGUCUCAGUCCGGAUUGGAGUCUGCAACUCGACUCCAUGAAGUUGGAAUCGCUAGUAAUCGUAGAUCAGCAUGCUACGGUGAAUACGUUCCCGGGCCUUGUACACACCGCCCGUCACACCACGGGAGUUGGUUGUACCAGAAGUAGUUGAGCGAACCCUUCGGGGGCGCAGGCUACCAAGGUAUGGUCGGUAACUGGGGUGAAGUCGUAACAAGGUA
rnacentral:rRNA from 1 species